rnacentral:rRNA from 1 species
GACGAACGCUGGCGGCGUGCUUAACACAUGCGAGUCGAACGGAAAGGCCCUGCUUUUGUGGGGUGCUCGAGUGGCGAACGGGUGAGUAGCACGUGAGUAACCUGCCCUUGACUUUGGGAUAACUUCAGGAAACUGGGGCUAAUACCGGAUAGGAGCUCCUGCUGCAUGGUGGGGGUUGGAAAGUUUCGGCGGUUGGGGAUGGACUCGCGGCUUAUCAGCUUGUUGGUGGGGUAGUGGCUUACCAAGGCUUUGACGGGUAGCCGGCCUGAGAGGGUGACCGGCCACAUUGGGACUGAGAUACGGCCCAGACUCCUACGGGAGGCAGCAGUGGGGAAUAUUGCACAAUGGGCGGAAGCCUGAUGCAGCAACGCCGCGUGCGGGAUGACGGCCUUCGGGUUGUAAACCGCUUUCGCCUGUGACGAAGCGUGAGUGACGGUAAUGGGUAAAGAAGCACCAGCUAACUACGUG